rnacentral:rRNA from 1 species
AUUGAACGCUGGCGGCAGGCCUAACACAUGCAAGUCGAGCGAGCGGCGGACGGGUGAGUAAUGUUUGGGAAACUGCCUGACGGAGGGGGAUAACUACUGGAAACGGUAGCUAAUACCGCAUACCAUCAGAUGUGCCCAGAUGGGAUUAGCUAGUAGGUGGGGUAAAGGCCUACCUAGGCGACGAUCCCUAGCUGGUCUGAGAGGAUGACCAGCCACACUGGGACUGCGACACGGUCCAGACUCCUACGGGAGGCAGCAUUGGGGAAUAUUGCACAAUGGGCGCGAGCCUGAUGCAGCCAGGCCGCGUGUAUGAAGAAGGCCUUCGGGUUGUAAAGCACUUUCAGCGGGGAGGCGUUACCCGCAGAAGAGGCACCGGCUAACUCCGUGCCAGCAGCCGCGGUAAUUC